GCGUAAUUGUUAUGUAGGAUCCCGUUUUCCUCUAUGGCUUUAUUCACAAAAGCAUUUACAGUUUCUAUAUUUAGUCAAUUCAAGUAUUUCAGAUAUUUUUCCAAUUAGAUUUUUGAAAUCUGCUUCCCAAUUAAAGUUUUUAGAUCUCGGCCAAAACCAAAUUCAUGGGCCAAUACCAAAUCUAACCGAGUUUACUGGACUGUUGAUUCUUUCCGUGUAUUCGAAUAAUAUGUCGGGUCCAUUACCCCUCAUAUCAUCCAAUCUAGUUUUCCUAGAUCUUUCUAAUAACUUAUUCUCUGGAUCAAUUUCUCCUUUCUUGUGUUAUAGAAUCAAUGAGACGAAGAGCUUAAAUGCUCUUCAGCUAAAUGAUAAUUAUUUAAAUGGAGAAUUACCUGAUUGUUGGAUGAGUUAUCAAAAUUUGAAGACACUCAAACUAAGCAACAACAAAUUUACUGGUAAUCUUCCAUACUCAAUGGGUAGUCUAACUUCUCUUGUUUGGUUGCAUCUUGGCGAAAACAGACUGUCUGGGGAUAUACUUGUUUCUCUUAAAAAUUGUACAGCAUUAGAGUCACUUGAUGUUGGUGAAAAUGAGUUUGUGGGCAAUAUUCCGACAUGGAUUGGAGAAAGAUUUUCAAGAAUGGUUGUACUCAUCCUUCGUUCCAAUAAGUUUCAUGGCCCUUUACCCACAGGAUUAUGUGAUCUAGCUUUUCUUCAAAUAUUAGACAUUGUGGACAACAAUCUCUCUGGAGCUAUACCAAAUUGCAUUAAUAAUCUCACAGGCAUGGUCACAGCAUGCUCUUUUACACGCAGUGUUCAGCAAUAUCUACCACUUCCUAUAGACGUGGGUGUGAUUCUUGUAGAGAAGGCUUCAGUUGUGAGCAAAGGGGAAAUGGUUGACUAUGAAGAUAUUCUUAAUUUGGUAAGGAUGAUAGAUUUUUCCAGGAAUAAUUUCUCAGGAAAGAUUCCUUUGGAAGUGUCAAAUCUUAAAGCACUACAGUCAUUGAAUUUUUCGUACAACUCUUUCACCGGAAGAAUUCCUGAAAGUAUUGGUGUCAUGAGAUCAUUGGAAUCCAUUGAUUUUUCUGCAAACCAACUUUCGGGUGAAAUUCCAGAGAGCUGUCAAGUUUGACGUUUUUGAAUCAUUUGAAUUUGUCCAACAACAACUUGACUGGGAAAAUUCCUUCAAGCACUCAACUGCAGAGCUUUGAUGUAUCUAGUUUCGCUGGCAAUGAUCUCUGUGGAGCUCCUCUUCCUAAGAAUUGUACUGAGAAUGUUUCAAUUUCUGAAGAUGAGAAUGGAGAUGAAGAUGAAGACGAAGUGGACCACUGGUUGUAUGUAAGCGCGGCACUUGGAUUUGUGGUGGGAUUUUGGUGUUUUAUGGGCCCUUUGCUUGUCAGAAGAAGAUGGAGGUACAAGUAUUAUCAUUCCCUGAAUCGUCUUGGGGACAGAUUUGUUGGUGCCAUAAGAAAAUGUUGCUAGGUUUUCUCUGUUUCUUAUAGUUGUUCUGCUUCCAAGUAUUAUUUGAAAUAAACGAGUGGCCUUUUAUUUGUUUUGUGCCUGAAAGUGAACACUCGUGUGAAAUAAUUUUAAACAAACAGGACGAUAUUACAAAUCCUAGGAGAUCAUUCCUACUCAAAAAAAUUAAUCCUGAUAAAUCAAAAGUGAAAAGAUUUUAUUGUAUGGACAGUUCACCACGUAUAAGCUCAUUGAUUUCUAGAUUAAAAAAGAUCAUAAAUCACAACAUUGGUAUCAAAAUGUUGAUUCGUAAUACGAUAUUUAAAACAAAAAUGGAAAGAGAAAAAGAUAUUCGUAAUAAAUCACAACAGUUUUUUUUUUCCCAGGUGCAUCUGCUUGUUGGAAUAAUCAUUCCAUUCUGCAGUCUCAGAUCCAAAAUUUACUCAAGGGGGGAUAUUAUAUUCUCGUAACAAACAAAGUCACAUUAACAAGCAACAUGAAACUUUGAUAGAGAAUUAGAAAAGUUUCUCACAUUAACAACCAACAGGAGGGUUCCCUACAAAUUUCAUUUUAUGGAAUAUUUUCAAUGCAACACUGAGAUUCACAACUAUUCGAGUAAACAACUGUUUGGAAUACUUCCCUCCAAAUUUCAUUUGAAUAUGACAAAAAUGGCAUGUGGGCACCACCCUUCUAGAAGGUGGGCCCGCCCAUUUUGAAGAUGAAAGCAUUACUUCCGUCUUUGAUUGGAAGAAAAGAAAAAAAUAGAGAAAGAACGAAAAAUGGGUGUCGGGCCGAAAAGGGCAAAGAAAAAAAUUAAUAAAAUAAUAAAAAUAAUAUAUAAUUGAUGAAUAGUACCAAAACUUUCUCUAUAAAUAAAAACGAAGAGAAUGAGCAAAUGCAUUCCAUCGAGAGAAAAACAUUUCCUUCCUUUAGAAAGUUGUGAGUAUUAAGAGUUUAAUAAACUCUUGAGUGAUUAGUGUUUUGAGAGUUUGGGUGUAUUGGGAUUUUGAGUAGUGAGCUAAAAUACCACAAUAUUUGUAACUCUUUUUGACUAGUAAAAUAUUUUCCUUCUAUCUUCGCCAAUGGACGUAGGCUAAAAACCAAACCACAUAAUUUCCUGGUAUCCUCUUUGUGCUUAUUCUUUAUUUUUUUUCAAUUUUAUUUUAGCUGCGUGUCUGCUUCAACCAUCAAUUUCCUAACAGAAUAUACAUUUUUUUUUUGGAAAUAUUUCUUGCGAAGUCUCAUAGCUCCAGUACUGCAAGCUUCUUUGGCAUCCAAAUUUCUAGUCAUGUCAUUCAAUAUCUGAAAAAGGUACAAAAGAAACAAAAGGAAAGAGAAGAGAGAAUUAAUUAAUUGCGGGAAAAGAAAUUCCUAGAAAUCAAUUUAAAAAUAUGCUAGGGUUACGGGAUCCACUCUCAGUAUUCAAACUAUAGUUUUAAUACUCUUUUUUUAAUAUAUUUUUCCUUACUUUUACUGGUUAAUUAUUAUGUCAUUUAAUUCUUAACUAACUAUAUCUAUGGAUAAAUAUGGAAUCAAAAACCUAAUGUGCCACAACUAUAUUAAUGUGUCGACUUAAAUACUAGCUAUGCAACCCAAGAGGGGGUGAAUUGAGUUUAUAAAAAUUAUGUAAUACUUAAACAAAUCUUAAACAAAUUCAAAACAAUAAUAAAUAAAUCAAUCAAAAUGUAAAGAGAUAAGGGAAGUGAGAUUCAAACACAAAAAUUUUUAUAUGGUUCGGCCAACCCUGCCUACGCCCGUGCCUCUAAGUUCACCGGGCUUGAGGAUUCUACUGUCCAAGCCUCCAAGGCUUUAAGAACUUUUAUAAUUGACUUCACAGGUGUCAAUCAACCUUUACAACAAUAGAUUAUCUUAAAUCUCUUAACCCAAGUGUUUUCUACAUUCACAUUUUCUCAAAUACAAGAUUUUUCCCGCACACAAUCGAUGUGUUUACAAAUAUAUGCCCAAGGUGUGAUUUAAAGAAUAAAUGAAUAAAUUAAAGCUCAAGUAAUAUUGUAUUCUCAAUAAUAUGCUCUCUGGUAUUCGUUGGAUUCUCUUUGAUUUGGAUCUAAUGCAACCUUUUUAUAUUUGGAGCUGAAAACUAGUCGUUAUCUACUUUCUGCACAAAGUCGGAUCGCCGUUAAGCAUUAUCGAAUUGCCGUUUUGACUUGAGCGAGUGAUUGUUGUGCCAAAAUUCAAAUUGUCGGAUCAUCAUUUUCUAGAUGUCGAAUCGCUGUUAGUUUCUAGUAACUAAACUUCAAUUUUGUUCAAUGUCAGUUAGUCGUUUCCUCGUAAACGGUUAGCCGUUUGCUACAGUGAUUGCUACAGUGAAACAAUUUACUAAAAUUAUAUUUUUUCCCUAAAACUUUUUAAAUUAUACUAUAGCCCAAAACUUUAUAAAACUUUGCACAAAAGUCCAUUUCUAGAAUUUUAAACAAUAUUUGUUGAUUUCAAACUUUUCAAAACUUUUUUAAUUAGACCAUAAACUUGAAAAAUAACCAAUAUUAUAAAAUUAUUUGUUGGCUCCAUGGGAAAUCUACGGUAUCUCAAUUUUUUUGAAACUCGAAUCUGCGGAAUUAUACCUCAACAACUUGGAAAUCUCUCCAAUCUGCAGUUUCUUGACCUUAGUUCAAAUUAUUUAUUAUACGUUGAUAAUUUUUUGUGGCUCUCUGGUAUUUCUCUCCUGGAACACCUCGAUUUGCGUUAUGUGAAUCUUAGCAAAGCCUUUGAUUGGCUGAUGGUAGAAAACAAACUCCUUUCUUUGGUAGAAUUAAGAUUGUCAAAUUGCCAACUCCAACACUUCUCUCCAUUAGCUACCGCAAAUUUUUCGUUGCUCACAGUGUUUGACCUUUCCCACAACCAAUUUGAUAACUCGUUCAUUCCUAGUUGGGUUUUUGCUUUAAGUCAUUUGCCCUUUCUUGACCUAGGUUUUAAUAAUUUUCAAGGUCCAAUUCCUGGGGGACUUCAAAACCUGACUUCCCCUAAACAUUUGGGUUUAGAUUCCAACCACUUCAACUCUUCAAUUCCCAACUAGUUGUAUAAAUUCAUCCAUCUUGAGUACCUUAGUCUUCGCAACAAUAAAUUGCAAGGUACAAUUGACUUAGAGGCUCUUGGAAACUUGACUUCCAUCAAUCAGCUCGAUCUCUCAUUAAAUACUGGUCUUGCAGGGAGAAUUCCAAGAUCCAUGGCAAGUCUUUGUAAUUUAAAGUCAAUCAAUCUUCAGGGUGUCAAUUGUGAGCCAAUAAAUUUUUGAGAUUUUAGAUAUUUUCUCGGGAUGUGUUUCUAAUGGACUAGAGAGUUUAGAUAUGCAGAGUAGUUCAAUAUAUGGUCAUUUGACUGAUUAGCUUGGCCAAUUUAGAAAUCUCGUCACUCUUAAUCUUGUUAAUAAUUCAAUUGUUGGUUCUAUUCCAUGGUCAUUUGGUUAACUCUCAACCUUGAGAGAACUACAUAUAUAUGAUAAUAAGUUAAACGGAACACUUUUUGAACUUCACUUUGCCAAUCUGAUAGAAAUGUCAUGGUUUAGAGUAGGUGGAAACCAAUUGACGUGGGAAGUGAAGCAUGAUUGGAUUCUUCAUUUCCAACUUGUUGCAUUAGGAUUGCAUAGUUGUUAUAUAGGGUCUCGAUUUCCUCUAUGGCUUAAUUCACAAAAGCAUUUACAGUUUCUAGAUUUAGUCAACUCAAGAAUUUCAUAUAUUUUUCCCAUUAGAUUUUUGAAAUCCGCUUCCCAAUUAAAGAUUUUAGAUCUCGAAAAAAAGCAAAUUCACGGGGAGAUGCCAAAUCUAACCGAGUUUACUCAACUUUUGUUUCGUUCCCUGGAUUCGAAUAAUAUGUCGGGUCCUUUACCCCUCAUAUCAUCCAAUCUCGUUUACCUUGGCCUUUCAGAUAACUCAUUCCCCGGAACAAUUUCUCAUUUCUUAUGUAACAAAAUCAACGAGACAAAGAGAUUAGAAGCUCUUAAGCUAAAUGAUAAUUAUUUACAAGGAGAGUUACCUGAUUGUUGGAUGAGUUAUCAAAAUUUGAAGAUACUUAAACUAAGUAACAACAAAUUCACUGGUAAUCUUCCAAACUCAUUUGGUAGUUUAGCUUCUCUUGCUUGGUUGGAGCUUGGUAAAAACAGACUAUUUGGGACAAUACCUGCUUCUCUUAAAAAUUGUACAGCAUUAAAGUCACUUGAUGUUGGUGAAAACGGGUUUGUUGGCAGUACUCCAGCAUGGUUUAGAGAAAGAUUUUCAAGAAUGGUUGUUCUCAACCUUCGUUCCAAUAAGUUUCAUGGCCCUUUACCCA
rnacentral:lncRNA from 1 species